AACGAACGCUGGCGGCGCGCCUAAUACAUGCAAGUCGAGCGAGAAGGUGUAGCAAUACACUUGUAAAGCGGCGAACGGGUGAGGAAUGCAUGGGUAACCUACCCUCGAGUGGGGAAUAACUAGCCGAAAGGUUAGCUAAUACCGCAUACGUUUCCGGAACUUCGGUUUCGGAAAGAAAGCAAUACCGUGGGUAUUGCGCUCCUGGAUGGGCUCAUGUCCUAUCAGCUUGUUGGUGAGGUAACGGCUCACCAAGGCUUCGACGGGUAGCUGGUCUGAGAGGACGAUCAGCCACACUGGCACUGCGACACGGGCCAGACUCCUACGGGAGGCAGCAGUAAGGAAUAUUGCGCAAUGGACGAAAGUCUGACGCAGCAACGCCGCGUGGGGGAUGAAGGUCUUCGGAUUGUAAACCCCUUUCGGGAGGGAAGAUGGAGUGGGUAACCACUUGGACGGUACCUCCAGAAGCAGCCACGGCUAACUUCGUGCCAGCAGCCGCGGUAAU
rnacentral:rRNA from 1 species